rnacentral:rRNA from 1 species
CCUACGGGAGGCAGCAGUGAGGAAUAUUGGUCAAUGGACGCAAGUCUGAACCAGCCAUGCCGCGUGCAGGAAGACGGCUCUAUGAGUUGUAAACUGCUUUUGUACGAGGGCAAACGCAGAUACGCGUAUCUGUCUGAAAGUAUCGUAAGAAUAAGGAUCGGCUAACUCCGUGCCAGCAGCCGCGGUAAUACGGAGGAUUCGAGCGUUAUCCGGAUUUAUUGGGUUUAAAGGGUGCGUAGGCGGGCGGGUAAGUUAGCGGUGAAAUCCCGGGGCUCAACCUCGGCAUUGCCGUUGAUACUGUUCGGCGAGAGAGGAGUUGAGGUAGGCGGAAUGUGUGGUGUAGCGGUGAAAUGCUUAGAUA